AUGAAAAAACUGAGGUAUAGGAUGAUACAACUGGGCCAGGCAUGGUGGCUCACAUCUGUAAUACCAGCACUUUGGGAGGCCAAGGGAGGAGGAUCACUUGAACCCAGGUGUUUGAGACCAGCCUGAGAAAAACAGGAAGAACUCAUCUCUACAAAAAAAUUAUCUAGUGCUGACCUGCUUGGUGAAUGCUGGGAUCUCUGGAAGAGGGAGGCAGACAUCACACACCAGCUGGCAAGUGGGAGCUGGCAUGCAACAUGCCCCAAUACCACUCCCCUCCUGCCAUCCCUAUCUCCUAAUGGUGCCUCCUUUUGGCCAAACCCACCUUUGGCUGGAGGGCAACAGAGCCCAUUGACGUGGUCCCCUUGCAUCUGCUACCUGGGGAGAAAAGCAGGAUGGACACUGAAUCUAGAGAAAUGAAGAAACCCAUCCAGAAGAAUACUGCUUCUUUAUGUUUUUGUAGGUGUACAAAUCAGGCCUCCCCAUGAUAUUCUAAACUCCUUGAGGAAAGAAGUGGAGUCCUGGGCUUCUGAUGUAGCCUCCACAGUGCUCAGGGGAUAGCGACACUGGCACCCUAUAGAUAUUUAAUUACAUGUGGACUGGAAGAGACCAAACAGCUUCCUGGUAUUUCAAUCAAACCCGGUGCUCUAGACCUGUGGCUCACUCUGAGCAAACUAUAAUGAGUUGAACUUGAAUCUGAUUCCUGCUAAGAAAGGUUUCAUUUUAAUAGGCAGUAAGGCUAUGAGCUAACACCAGAAUUCAUUCGAGUUACUAGACUCACUGAAACUCCUCACAGGAUCCAUCUUUCAUGUUUUCUAGAUUUUGGUAUUCUUAUCUAAACUGCAGACCCAGAAACCCUAUGGACCCUACCUUUCCAAUUAUAUUUCUGGGAAGAGUCAUUCUCUGCAGAGCUGAAGCAUGUAACAGAAAGUUCUCAACCUGAAAAAUAUACCUUCUGCGCCCAAGCCCCACUUUCUGCCACUAUUUGGUAAUCUCAAGUGGGUGAGGUGGUCUCUGAACUUCAGCGCUCUCAUGGUCAGAGCCACAAGGGGUUACUGGGAGGCUAAAGGGAAGUGGCAAACGUGGCUGAGAUUCAGAAAGAAAAGCAGCAAGUGUAGAGAGGCAAGGACUUUUCCAUCUUUUAAAUUCCUUAAAGGAAGCCAAAGUUCAUUUUCCAGUCUCCUUCAGAUGCCUCUCCAAUCCUUCACAGCAGCGCACACAUACCGCAGAAGGAACUCACCAUCACAAAAAGAUGACAGAGCACUGGGGGCUGGGGUGCCACUUGUGUUGGCUGAGAGCCUGGAUGCAUGUGAGGUCAAGCCUGACCUUGGGAAAGCUGCUCUCUGGACAUUACUUGCUGUGCCACAUACACAGCUUGGGUUUCUGAGGAAACAACACAGGCUCUAAGGAGGAACUGGAACGGGGCCCAGGGUAUAUCUUUUACAGCCCGUACUUUUGAGGAAAAUAGAAGACAAAAGGUUUUUAAAAAACACAAAGUGUAUACACGUAUACACAAAGUUUACAAGUUUGUGUGUUUUAACAUCUACUCUCCUUAAGAACAAGUAGACAGGAAAGAUAUUACCUGAUAUGGGUUAAAUUGUGUCCCCAAAAACAUGUUUUGAAGUGCUAACCUUUGGUACCUGUGGAUAUGACCUUACUUGGAAAUAGGUUUUUGCAGACGUAACCAAGUUAAGAUGAGGUCAUAUUUGAUUAGGCUGAACCCUGAAUCCAGUAUGACUGGGGUCCUUAUAUAAACAAGAGAGACACACGCAGAGUGAAGAUGAUGUGUUGAAACACAGGAACAGUGUCAUGGGAUGCUGGGGACAGCAGUUGGAGUGAUGCAUCUAUGGGCCAAGGGAAUGCCAAGGAUUGCCAGCCAUCACCAGGACAGAAGCAUGGGUACUGAUGCCCUCACAGAGCCCUUGAAGAGAGUCAACCCUGCUGACACCUUGAUUUCAGACUUCCAGCCUCCAGAACUGUGAGAGAAUAAAUUUCCGUUGUCUUAAGUCACCCAGUUUGUAGCACUUUAUUAUGGCAGCCCUGGGAAACUAACACACUACCCUUAUUUUCAUGCUGAGGAAUGUAAGAUAGUUUUAGGCACCACCUGCUUCUAUACAAGUUUUAUGAUCUCUCCUCCUAAUACUGCAGAAAUUAUGGGUUUUACCAUCUUAGUAUAUAGCAUAAUAUAUCCAGCACACGUUAUAUAUUUAGCACUUUAUUAGAGUACCCCGGUUUGCUCUUCUGAAAAACUGUGAGGCUGGAUUUGAUGCUUUCUAAGGCUUUUUUUUCCCUAUGUAUUCUCUGAUCAGAAUACCCUGCUCAACGAAGCCGCUGGUAAUGAAGCUCAUUAAAAAUGAAAUCACUUAGGUAGGGAGUUGGAGAGUGACUCAUUUAAAACAUUGCCUCCUGGAAACUGAAAUUCAUUGAACACAAAAGCUUUUGGAGGGACUCAGAUUGGUAGGGACUCUGCAGUCUGACAAAAGGGUCUGGUGACAGGGGGCAUCUGAUCCCAUCUAGGGAGGGUAGGGAGAGGGAGUCCGGAGAGGGAUGCAUAAACAAGCCUUCUUCAGACAUGCUACCUAUGCCUCUCCCAUGGCUCCUGCAUGCUUGGAUGUUACGCUUCUUUAAAGAGCAGGUGACAGGUUGCCCCUGGGACGCUCAGAGCCAGGCAAGGUGGGACUUGGCCCUGCUCCCCCUUCUUCUAUCUGAAAAGUUGCCCUUAGUCCCACGGGGCCCCUUCCUGUCACACCGACACAGCUUGCUGGUUUUUGUUUUCUUUCACUGUCCUUUUUCUUUUUUCAGAAGUUCCUCACAGGAAGUGUUUGGCAGGCAGCUCAGGCCCCUGCUGAGAUGGAGAAUCUAGCAAACCUGUCCCGCUGAUUGAUUAAACACUGAGGAGGCUCCAAGACCCAAGCGUGAAAUUCCUUGGCUCUGAUUGUGCUAAGGGUAGAGCUCACUAAUGAAUGGAGUCUGAUUACAGCCCAGCCUCUCCAGUGCCUCCUGUUGCCCCAAUUUGGGGGAUUCUUCUGCUUCGAGUACAUCAUGGAAAGCAGCACAGAGUUCUCAGCAGGAUCUGCGAUGUCUGAUCCAAGAAAGAUUUUUGUUGUUGUCGUCAUUGUUGUUUUUUAAUCCUGAUCAUUGCUCUCAAACCCUUCUCUACACAGCUUGGCGUGGGGGGUAGUUGAUUUCCAGUGAAACCGGGUGGAAGCAGUGCCACUGCCACCUGUGAGGAGGAAAUGGGCAACAGUCGGCUUCAUCCGUCCUGAACGCUCAGGCCUGAAUGUUCCAAACUGAUGCUAAACUGAGACUCUCUGAAGGCCCAUGGGGAAGCCUGGCAUUGUGUAGCCAUUUCUUCCAGCAAGGCUCUCCCCUCACAUUCACAGCCUGCCACUUAAAGCUUUGGGAGACAAUGUAGUUGACCUGUAGUUCUUCCUGUAUGUGGCUCCUGGUCAGUCACUGGGCAAGGAGGAGGCUGCAGGCAUUGUGCUAUCCCCUUAUCUCUCUCUCUGUCUGUCUCUUAUCUAGUUCAAAUCAGCAAAUGGAGCUUGGUCCUUCGUUUGUAAAGUAAGGGGGUGGAAAAUUAUCCCUAAGUUACCUCCUGGUUUAGAAAAGUCUUAAUGCUGUUUUAUAAUAACUCACCCACCUCUCCUCUUCCAUGAGCUCAGAGCGGCCCAGCCCUUGGAAUGUGUUUCUGCCACGACAAGGAAUACAGGAGGAGUUGAACAGGAAACCUGCCUCCUAUCAGAUUCACCUGAGGACGUGCAGGUGAGAUCGGCACUGGCUCCAAGGAAGAGGUUUUCCAUGCAGAUGUGGAAACUGCCAAAAGACCUUGGAUGUGAGCUGCCACCUGCUGCUGGAAAGAUGUGGAGAGAACUUGGAUUCAGGAAGAGAGCUGCUUCUUCCCUCCUCCCAUAUCCCAGUUUCUUGCCGUGCUUUCCAUUGGCAUACCCUAACUGAAAGCCACUGGCAAGAGACUUGCAGAAAUUAACUUUCCAGAGUCUCAGGCCCUCUAGAUUACAGAGAAGAGGACGGAAGAGAGGGAAUGGGGCCUGAGACAAAUACCUUCAUAGUGUUCUUCCUAAAAUGUAAAACCAAUAAUUGAAAACUAAACUCUACAUAAGACGGGAAUAAAGCUGAGCGAUGUAGCUAGCCUCACCCUUGCAUUGACAGUAGAGUGUUAUUAAAAUCAAAUACGUGUGGCAUAAACACUGUUGUUCUCGGUUACUGAGCUUGCAGUCAACAAC
rnacentral:lncRNA from 10 species